rnacentral:lncRNA from 1 species
UUUCAUUUAAAUAAAUUAUCAUCUACCACUAAAACGGGUUUAAAUUUGUUAAUCAUGUCAGAUUUUUUUUAUACAAAUGAAGUUAUUAACAUAUGUUAAAAAUUUAUUUCUACAGCUAUAUAUUUUCAAAAAUCAUAUGUUGACGAAUAUUUUUUAUUUGAUUAUUUUAAAUUAUGAAAACUCGAAAACAUAAUAAAAAAAGGUAAAAUGUAUAAAACAAAUCUCUACAUUAAUAAAGUAAUAAGAAACCUAAACAAUAAAAUUAAAGAGUUAUAAAAUAAAUAACACUAAGAUAUAAAUUGUAUAUUUAAGUUUAUAUAAUAAUAUCAAAAUUAAAUAUUUAUAAAAUGAAAAUAUACCCGCAUGAUGUGCGGGAUAAACUCUAGUUAACUAUUAAGAUGCAUAUAGUUAGAGUAAUUAUUAACGACAAAAUAAAAAGAAAUAAAAAGUAUGAUCACUUCUCUAAAAAUAAAUAAAAUAAAAUCUCAAUAUCAUAAGAAAAAUAAUUAGCAAAAAAUCUGUCAAAUAUAUAUAGUUAAUUUAUGAAAGUGAAAUAAAAAAAUUACUUUUAAUCAAAGUAACAAAUUAUUAAAAUCAAAAUAUCAUGAUCACAUCAAGAAAACAACUUGUGUAUUACUAAUUAUAUUAUAUAGUUUACAUACUUUUUUGUCAACAUAUAGUUUACAUACUAGCCUA